AUUGAACGCUGGCGGCAGGCCUAACACAUGCAAGUCGAACGAGUGGCGGACGGGUGAGUAAUGUCUGGGAAACUGCCCGAUGGAUGGGGAUAACUACUGGAAACGGUAGCUAAUACCGCAUACCAUCGGAUGUUCCCCGAUGGGAUUAGCUAGUAGGUGGGGUAACGGCUCACCUAGGCGACGAUCCAUAGCUUGUCUGAGAGGAUGACCAGCCACACUGGAACUGAGACACGGUCCAGACUCCUACGGGAGGCAGAAGUGGGGAAUAUUGCACAAUGGGCGCAAGCCUGAUGCAGCCAUGCCGCGUGUAUGAAGAAGGCCUUCGGGUUGUAAAGUACUUUCAGCGGGGAGGCGUUACCCGCAGAAGAAGCACCGGCUAACUCCGUGCCAGCAGCCGCGGUAAUAC
rnacentral:rRNA from 1 species